GCCUUCUUAGCGCAGCGGGCAGCGCGUCAGUCUCAUAAUCUGAAGGUCCUGAAAGCAUCAGCAACAAAC